GACGAACGCUGGCGGCGUGCUUAACACAUGCAAGUCGUACGGUAAGGCCCUUUCGGGGGUACACGAGUGGCGAAAGGGUGAGUAACACGUGAGUAACCUGCCCACAACUUUGGGAUAACGCUAGGAAACUGGUGCUAAUACUGGAUAUGUGCUCCUGCUGCAUGGUGGGGGUUGGAAAGCUCCGGCGGUUGUGGAUGGACUCGCGGCCUAUCAGCUUGUUGGUGGGGUAGUGGCCUACCAAGGCGGCGGCGGGUAGCCGGCCUGAGAGGGUGACCAGCAACAGUGGGACUGAGAUACGGCCCAGACUCCUACGGGAGGCAGCAGUGGGGAAUAUGGCACAAUGGGCGCGAGCCUGAUGCAGCAACGCCGCGGGCGGGAGGACGGCCUACGGGUUGUAAUCCGCUUGCAGCAGGGACGGAGCUUUUUGUGACGGUACCUGCAGAAGAAGCACCGGCUAACUACGUG
rnacentral:rRNA from 1 species